UACGUAGGGUGCGAGCGUUGUCCGGAAUUACUGGGCGUAAAGAGCUCGUAGGUGGUUUGUCGCGUUGUUCGUGAAAACUCACAGCUUAACUGUGGGCGUGCGGGCGAUACGGGCAGACUGGAGUACUGCAGGGGAGACUGGAAUUCCUGGUGUAGCGGUGGAAAUGCGCCAGAUAUCAGGAGGAACACCGGUGGCGAAGGCGGGUCUCUGGGCAGUAACUGACGCUGAGGAGCGAAAGCGUGGGGAGCGAACAGG
rnacentral:rRNA from 1 species